CGAUGUGGGGGCGAUCUGGCUGCGACAUCUGUCACCCCAUUGAUCACCAGGGUUGAUUUGGCUGAUCUGGCUGGCUAGGCGGGUGUCCCCUUCCUCCCUCACCGCUCCAUGUGUGUCCCUCCUGAAGCUGCGUGCUCGGUGGAAGAGGACGACGUCCCAGGUAUGGAAGGAGUGUACCGAAGUCUCCAGUCUUUGGUCCCGGGUAUACAAUAGCUGCGCUUCCCUGCAUGAUCACAAUGACCAAAUGUGAGCCAGGAUCCUACCUCUUCCUCUCCAUGUAACACACUGUGUCCUGGCAGAAAUCCCAU
rnacentral:snRNA from 1 species